rfam:Ovis aries breed Texel chromosome 3, whole genome shotgun sequence.
UCCCUGGUGGCUCACACAGUAAAGAAUCUGCCUGCAAUGCAGGAGACCCAGGUUCAAUCCCUGGGUUGGGAA